GAUAAAUUUACACCUCGUGACUAAACGUGUUUAUCAUUCUCACAUGAUUAAGACGUCGAUUUCGAAGAAAGAUGGAAAAGCAAUUGGAGAAAUGUGUUGACGAGAUAUGUGCCAUGCCAAAUGUAAAUGGUAUCUUGUGUGCAGAUAACCAAGGCUUAUGUAUGGCAUAUAAAGGAAUAGCAGCACCAAAAUCUGCUGGUGUUUUCACCUUUUUAACAAAAUUAGCAAGUUCAUUAGAACCUAAUAAUAAACCACCUGUAAUUCAGUUAGAUGGAAAAAAGACGUAAGAUAUUGUUUUUUAAUCAAUGGCAAAUUCUGAUAAAAAAUACAGAAAAUAUUACAAUGGCAAUUUAUAAAUCAUCACAAUGAAUAUGUUGUUCUUUUGUGAUAUAUUUUUCAUUGAAAAUAUUGUAAAAAUUUUAUACCUGUAUAAAUAUUGCUGCCAAUGUUCACUUUUUGUUUAACUGUGCACUAUAAAUAAAACAGUUUGUAAAUCCUA